rnacentral:rRNA from 1 species
AGUGAACGCUGGCGGUAGGCCUAACACAUGCCAGUCGAACGGCAGCACAGUAAGAGCUUGCUCUUACGGGUGGCGAGUGGCGGACGGGUGAGGAAUACAUCGGAAUCUACUUUUUCGUGGGGGAUAACGUAGGGAAACUUACGCUAAUACCGCAUACGACCUACGGGUGAAAGCAGGGGAUCUUCGGACCUUGCGCGAUUGAAUGAGCCGAUGUCGGAUUAGCUAGUUGGCGGGGUAAAGGCCCACCAAGGCGACGAUCCGUAGCUGGUCUGAGAGGAUGAUCAGCCACACUGGAACUGAGACACGGUCCAGACUCCUACGGGAGGCAGCAGUGGGGAAUAUUGGACAAUGGGCGCAAGCCUGAUCCAGCCAUACCGCGUGGGUGAAGAAGGCCUUCGGGUUGUGAAGCCCUUUUGUUGGGAAAGAAAAGCAGCAGGUUAAUACCCCGCUGUUCUGACGGUACCCAAAGAAUAAGCACCGGCUAACUUCGUG